CUUAAUCAUAGGGGUGAACAGCUAGUGCCAAAUAACUUUGCUGAGCCCAAAAGAAUUAUUAAGUUUCUGUUUUGAUAACUGCACCUAGGAAAACACUAGUGCAGAAACAGGGCACAAAAUCUGUGACCACUUGAAGUUCCGUUUUCAGUUUUCCAGCAAGCAAGAAGCUGAUGCUUCUGAAGCAAUACCAUAACAGUUAUGUGUACGACCCAAGGGGAAGAUUUAAUCACUUUCCGGUCAACAUGUGUGAACCCUCGGAGGCCGGUGCGUACCUUUAACAAGCUGAUACCAGAGCUCCUUGCUGUGUUGCCGGUUAGUACCUGUCCCAGCAACAGCAACAGAAGCCAGGAAGGAUGUCUUUCACAUGGAAGACACUCAACUGGUGCUCAGCACAGAAUGGACUGAGAGAUUUAAUCCUCAUUUAAUGCAGCACUGUUUUAUCUCUAUCAGGCAAACACAUGGGCACGAAGCACAUUCUACAUAUGUUACACUGUCUAAGGUUUCUCCUAUUAAAAAUAUGAAUAAUUAAUUAAAUUGAGAUCCCUG
rnacentral:lncRNA from 1 species